AAGAAGUUAUCCCUUUUUACAAAUCAGGUGAUUCUACUUUCCCAGUUUGGGAGUAAGACAACUUCUUUAUCGUUCCAAUCGAACUAGGAUGAACCACUUUGUAAGAAGCCUGAUAUGGAUACAUAAAGUGGUGGAGAAUGACCAGGAAGUUGAAAAAAAUCUCAUAGGAGCUGGGAAGAAGAAGUUAUCCCACAUUCAAAUUAGUUGAUUGUAGUUUCCCAGUUAGGAAUAAGACAACUUCUUCGUCGUUCCAAUCGAACCAGGAUGAAUCACUUUGUAAGAAGCUUGAUAUGGAUACAUAAAUUGGUGGAGAAUGACCAGGAAGUUGAAUAAAUCUCAUAGGAGUUGGGAAGAAGAAGUUAUCCCACUUUCAAAUCAGUUGAUUCCAGUUUCCCAGUUUGGGAAUAAGACAACUUCUUCACAACUUCUUCGUCGUUCCAAUCGAACCAGGAUGAAUCACUUUGUAAGAAGCUUGAUAUGGAUACAUAAAGUGGUGUAGAAUGACCAGGAAGUUGAAAAAAAUCUCAUAGGAGCUGGGAAGAAGAAGUUAUCCCACAUUCAAAUUAGUUGAUUGCAGUUUCCCAGUGAGGAAUAAGACAACUUCUUCGUCGUUCCAAUCGAACCAGGAUGGAUCACUUUGUAAGAAGCUUGAUCUGGAUACAUAAAGUGGCGGAGAAUGACCAGGAAGUUGAAAAAAAUCUCAUAGGAGCUGGGAAGAAGAAGUUAUCCCACAUUCAAAUUAGCUGAUUGUAGUUUCCCAGUUAGGAAUAAGACAACUUCUUCGUCGUUCCAAUCGAACCAA